rnacentral:rRNA from 1 species
GACGAACGCUGGCGGCGUGCCUAAUACAUGCAAGUAGAACGCUGAAGGAGGAGCUUGCUUCUCUGGAUGAGUUGCGAACGGGUGAGUAACGCGUAGGUAACCUGCCUGGUAGCGGGGGAUAACUAUUGGAAACGAUAGCUAAUACCGCAUAAUAGUAGAUGUUGCAUGACAUUUGCCUAAAAGGUGCAAUUGCAUCACUACCAGAUGGACCUGCGUUGUAUUAGCUAGUUGGUGGGGUAACGGCUCACCAAGGCGACGAUACAUAGCCGACCUGAGAGGGUGAUCGGCCACACUGGGACUGAGACACGGCCCAGACUCCUACGGGAGGCAGCAGUAGGGAAUCUUCGGCAAUGGACGGAAGUCUGACCGAGCAACGCCGCGUGAGUGAAGAAGGGUUUCGGAUCGUAAAGCUCUGUUGUAAGAGAAGAACGAGUGUGAGAGUGGAAAGUUCACACUGUGACGGUAUCUGACCAGAAAGGGACGGCUAACUACGUG